rnacentral:rRNA from 1 species
CGCGUAGGCGGGGCAGCAAGUCAGAUGUGAAAACCAUGGGCUCAACUCAUGGCCUGCAUUUGAAACUGUUGUUCUUGAGUGUUGGAGAGGCAGGCGGAAUUCCGUGUGUAGCGGUGAAAUGCGUAGAUAUACGGAGGAACACCAGUGGCGAAGGCGGCCUGCUGGACAAUAACUGACGCUGAUGCGCGAAAGCGUGGGGAGCAAACA